UCAAAAUUCCCACCCGAUCUG
ensembl:piRNA 21ur-191 ncRNA